rnacentral:rRNA from 1 species
AGUAACGGCGAGUGAAGCGGCAACAGCUCAAAUUUGAAAUCUGGCCUCUCGGGGUCCGAGUUGUAAUUUGUAGAGGAUGUUUUGGGUACCGCCCCGGUCUAAAUUUCUUGGAACAGAAUGUCAAAGAGGGUGAGAAU